GAAGUAAACAAACUCAACAAAAAUAACACACAAUGACAUAGGGGUAUGGGUAAGUAAAAUGGGGGAGCCUAUGAAGAAUAGUGAAAUAGGCCCAAGUAAGUUAUAAACAAGUCCAAAAUUGCAGGCCACUUUCCUUUAUUCUCUCAAACAAACAAAAUCGUAAUUAAAGCUAAAACCCUCCUUCAUGGCAGCCCCUUCUUUUCGACACCAACACAACUCCAACCCCUGAAACAUGCGUUCACCUCUUAGCCACCACCAACGACCUCUGCUGGAGGCUUCACCGGCGACACUAUCGCCCUUCACUCCACCUCGCGCCUGCACUAGUGUCUCCUCCUUCGCUUCUCCAGCGCGUUCAAGACAGGGUUGGGCCGAUCCGCUUCAUGGCCGCGAGGUCCCGCUUGCCAGAGAUCGCCGUCAGCGGUUACAACCGUCGGCGGCGCCCAUUCAUCUCCAAUCCUCGAUCCUUUUCUUCUACGAGAGAGAAAGGUGCCAUAGACUCUACGACUCGUCACCAUUGUGUCGGUCUCCGCGAUUGGGUGGAACGUGUGGGCGAAGGUGAUGAUACCCGUUGGUGACCGUAUGGGAUGGGCUAGUUUUGGAUGAGUGGAGUGGAGGAAACCGAGAACGGAAAUGGUAGUUACGUGUUGGCUGCAUAUAAUUGAACAAGGAAGAAGAUGUGGGUGUAGCGUGGUUAUGUUAAAGAGAGGUGAAGUGGUUCUCUAUUUUUAAUUAUUUUGUGCACAGGUUGGAUAAAUGGAAGAUGAAGAAGAUUAUGAUGGUCAUGAUGAUUGUACGAGAACGGUGAUGAGUGCACGAUGAUGCUCGCGAUUUUGAUGGAGCAUAUUUCGUUUCCCAAACUCAAACAACAACAAAGAGCACAAUAUAUUUGACUCAAGCAACAACAGACAACACAUCAAACCCAACACACGAACACAUUAUGCUCACACAAACGUUCAUUUAUUCAAGAUUGGGGUGCUUACCUCUUGCAACUGCUUAUCCCAUUAUCACUCCUUUCCUCUCGUUCUAGUUCUUCCUUCAGUUGGGUCCGAGGGUGCUGAUAGCUUAGAAAAUUCCCUGUCUCUUCUUUUUCCUUGAUGGCUAUGAAACCCCCUUUUUCUUUUCACAUGACUCUGUUGUUAUUUCCGAGCCCGUUUCCCCUUUCGUUCAUACUUUGCACGAACAGUCUAAGAUGACCAAAAGCACAAGGCAGGAUGCUUCCCAACCGCCCUAUUAGUGCUAUGACUGCCACAAUGAUACACAAAGAUACCCAACAUUUCUGUUUGUGUACUAAGACGUAGAGAUGGAGUAAAAUAUGAAAAUUUGAACAUUUUUCUUGCAUGGGGAGGGAAGGGUCAGCAAGCAGAGAAUUUACGUUGAUUUCCACUUCCCAACUUAUCACUUCAUUUUUAUU